CCUACGGGGGGCAGCAGUGAGGAAUAUUGGUCAAUGGGCGGGAGCCUGAACCAGCCAAGUCGCGUGAGGGAAGACGGUCCUAUGGAUUGUAAACCUCUUUUGUCGGGGAGCAAAACCCGGGACGUGUCCCGGACUGCGUGUAUCCGAAGAAAAAGCAUCGGCUAACUCCGUGCCAGCAGCCGCGGUACUACGUAGGUGGCAAGCGUUGUCCGGAUUUAUUGGGCGUAAAGCGAGUGCAGGCGGUUCCAUAAUGCUGAUGUGCAAGCCU
rnacentral:rRNA from 1 species